rnacentral:misc_RNA from 1 species
UCCGAGUUGACCCCGGCAGUCUCCCAUGAGUCCCCGCCAUAACGCGCUGGCAACAUGGAACGAGGGUUGCGCUCGUUGCGGGACUUAACCCAACAUCUCACGACACGAGCUGACGACAGCCAUGCACCACCUGCCACCGGCCCCGAAGGACCCCCCAUCUCUGGAGGAUUUCCGGUGAUGUCAAACCCAGGUAAGGUUCUUCGCGUUGCAUCGAAUUAAUCCGCAUGCUCCGCCGCUUGUGCGGGCCCCCGUCAAUUCCUUUGAGUUUCACCGUUGCCGGCGUACUCCCCAGGUGGAUUACUUAUCGCUUUCGCUAAGCCGCGUACUGUAUAUCGCACACAGCGAGUAAUCAACGUUUACAGUGUGGACUAC